CUACGGGUCGCUGCAGUGGGGAAUAUUGGACAAUGGGGGAAACCCUGAUCCAGCAAUGCCGCGUGUGUGAAGAAGGCCUGCGGGUUGUAAAGCACUUUCGGUUGGGAGGACUGCUUCUAGCACUAAUAUUGUUGGAAGUUGACGUUACCUUCAGAAGAAGCACCGGCUAACUCCGUGCCAGCAGCCGCGGUAAUACGGAGGGUGCAAGCGUGAAUCGGAAUUACUGGGCGUAAAGCGCGCGUAGGCGGCUAGAUCAGUCGGGUGUGAAAGCCCCGGGCUUAACCUGGGAACUGCAUCCGAUACUGGUGAGCUUGAGUACAGGAGAGGAGAGUGGAAUUCCACAUGUAGCGGUGGAAUGCGUAGAUAUGUGGAGGAACACCAAUGGCGAAGGCAGCUCUCUGGCCUGAUACUGACGCUGAGGUGCGAAAGCGUGGGGAGCAAACAGGAUUAGAUACCCGAGUAGUC
rnacentral:rRNA from 1 species